CAAGACUUAAAUGGGAAAUGACAGAUUUAGAAAUAGAUCCUUCUUCGGACAUUUUUCAAGGUGCUGCAUGGUUGUCGUCAGCUCGUGCCGUGAGGUGUUAGGUUAAGUCCUGCAACGAGCGCAACCCCUGUCACUAGUUGCUAACAUUAAGUUGAGGACUCUAGUGAGACUGCCUACGCAAGUAGAGAGGAAGGUGGGGAUGACGUCAAAUCAUCACGGCCCUUACGUCUUGGGCCACACACGUGCUACAAUGGCCGGUACAGAGGGCAGCUACCUAGUGAUAGGAUGCAAAUCUCGAAGGCCGGUCUCAGUUCGGAUUGGAGUCUGCAACUCGACUCUAUGAAGUCGGAAUCGCUAGUAAUCGUAGAUCAGAAUGCUACGGUGAAUACGUUCCC
rnacentral:rRNA from 1 species